CCCCAGCGGGCUUGGCCCCGGGCCGGGAGACCAGAGACCCGGGACCCGGCUUGAGCCAGGAACAAGUCAUGCUGGUAGGAAAGAAGACUGCAACUCCUCAGGCAGCUGGACCCCAUCUUGAGAGGAUAAACCUGUGACAUGAGGCUUCCUGCCAAAACUACUAGCCAAGACCAGGGUCUGGAGGAGGAAGUGGUUCUGGAGCUGCUGGGGCUGUGGACGUUCCUCAGCAAGGCUUGGGUCAGCUUUGCCUCCUUAACUCCUUUACCUUGCUGAGGAACAAGAGAUGACCAGUUCCCAGGAACAUGUUACGUUCAAGGAUGUGGCCGUGGACUUCACCGAGGAGGAGUGGGGGCAGCUGGACCCCGCACAGAGGGCCCUGUACAAAGAGGUGAUGCUGGAGAUCUAUGGCAACCUGGUCUUAGUGGGAUUUUGCAAGCAGUCUAAUACUUCCCAAUCCCUGUUGACAACAGCAUUAACUCUUCUAAUAACAAAAUGAUACAUGCCUAUUGUAAAAUAUGAAAACAUUAUGAAACAAAAGUAAGUGUAACUGGUUUAAUCAUGGAGUGUCAACUCAGUGGGGUAUAUAAGAUCAUGAAAUGGUUCUUUUAUCCCCCCAGGCUCUGCCUUCAUCCAUUCUGUUGAAUCCCCAUGAAUGAAUGAAUGAAUGAGAUUUGUUACUAUGGUUCUGGAGUCUCCAAAGUGGGUAAUUCACUAAAUAACCUAGAGAAAGAAGAGCAAAAUAAGCUCAAAGCAAGCAGAAUGGGAUAAUAAAGAUAAGAGCAGAAAUUAAUAAAAUCAAAAAUAGAGAAAAUCAAUGAAACCAAAAGCUGAUUCUUAAAAAAAAAAAAAAUCAGUAAAGUUGAUAAAUACCUAGCCAGACUGACCAAGAUAAAAAGAGGGAAGACACAAAGUCCUGACAUAAAGAAUGAAAGAGGGGACAUCACUAGUCUCCCUACAAAUAUUAAAAGUAUAAUAAGGAAAUACCAUGAACAACUCUGUGCACAUAUAUGCAGCAACUUAAAUGAAAUGGACCAAUUUCUUGAAAGGCACAAAUUACCAAAACUCAUUCAAGGAGAAGUAAAGUGGAUAGUCCUAUACCUAUUAAAGAAAUCUAAUUCAUGGCUUCCAAAAAAGAAAAUUCUAGGUCCAGAUGAUUUCACUGGUGAAUUCUACUAAACAUUUAAGGAAGAAACAACAACAAUUUUUCACAAUCUCUUCCAGAAGAUAAAGAGGUAAUACUUCCUAGCUCAUUUUAAUAAAGCCAGCAGUAACUCAUAUCGAAACAAGACAAAGAUCCAAGAAAACUACAAACCAAUAUCCCUGCCCUCCGUAUAUAGAAGCAAAAAUUCCUCAACAAAAUAUUAGCAAGUGAAAUUCAGCAAUAUAUAAAAAAGAUAACCAAAUGGUGUUCAUUCCAGGAAUACAAGACUGAUUCAACACUUGAAAAUCAAUGUAAUUCUCCACAUUAACAGAUUUAAGAAAAACUACAUGAUCAUAUAAAUAGGUCCAGAAAAAGCAGUUUAAAAAUAUUAACAUUCAUUCAUAAUUAAAAUUCAGCAAACUAGGAAUAGAAGGGAAAUUCUUCAGUCUGGUAAAGGUCAUCUGCAAUAAAACUACAGCUAACAUCAUACUUAAUGGUGAAAGAUGGAAUGUUCUCCUCCUAAGACUGGAAAUUAAUGCAAGAAUGUCUACUGUCAUUACUCCUAUUGAAUAUUGCUGUGGAAGUCUUAGCAAAUGCAGUAAGUCUGGAGAAAACUAAAGGCAUUCUAGUUGAAAAGGAAGAAAUAAAACUAUUCACAGAUGAUAUGAUUGUCUAUGUAAAAUAUCCCAAAGAAUCUAUUAAAAAGCUCUUAGAACUAAAAAGUUUAGCAAGGUUGCAGGAUACAAGAUCAAUAUACAAAAAUCCGUUGUAUUUCUAUAUAUUAGCAAUGAACAACUAGAAACACAAAUUUAAAAAACAGUACCAUUUGUAUUAGUUCCAAAGGAGAAAGAAAUGCUUAAGUAUAAAUAUAACAAAUUAUGUGAGGUUUUAUGUGCUAAGGAAAGAGGUGAAAAAAGAACUAAAGUGAAGAGACAUAUGCAUAUGGGUUAGAAGACUCAAUAUAGUUAAGAUGGCAGUUCUGCCCAAAUUGACCUAUAGAUUUAAUGCAAUCCCAAACAAAAAUUUAUAUAGAAAGGUAAAGGAACUAGACUAGCCAAGACAAUUUUGAAAAAGAAGAACAAAGUCUGGAGGACUCAUACCUGAUUUUAAGACAUACUAUAAAUCUACAGCAGUCAAGGCAGUGUAACCUGGGCAAAAGGAUAACAUAGGAUAAUGAGACAGAAUAGAAAUCCCAGAAAUAGACUCACAAAUAUGAUGAACUGAUUUUUGACCAAGGUGCAAUAGCAAUUCAGUAGAGAAAGGAAAGUCUUCAAUGAAUGGUGCUAGAACUGGACGUCUAUAUGCAGAAAUAUGAACCUUGAUUUACAAUUUACACUGUUAAUAAUUAACUCAAAAUGGAUCAUAGCUAGACCACAGUGAGAUACCACUUCGCAUUCACUAGCAUGUCACUAAUCAAAAAGACAGUAACAAGCAGGGAUGGUUGGAACUGUCAUAUAUUACUGAUGGAAUUGUAAAAUGGUGCAACCACUUUUGAAAACAAUUCGGCAGUUCCCCAAAAUGUUAAACAUAGAGUUGCCAAAAGACCCAGCAGUUCUACUCCUGGGUACACCCAAGAGAAAUGAAAACAUUUGUCCACACAAAAAUGUGUGCACAAAUGUUCAUAGCAACAGUGUUCAUAAUAACUAAAAAGCUGAAACAGUUAAAUGUCCAUCAACUGGUGAAUGGGUAAAUAAAAUACAGUAUAUUCAUAUAGUGGACUAUUUUUCAGCUAUAAUAAGAAAGAAGUACUGAUGCAUGUUACAACAUGGAUGGACCUUGAAAAUAUGCUGAGUGAAAGGAGUCACAAAAUAUUACAUAUUGUAUGAUUCAAGUUAUAUAAAAUGCUUAAAAUAAGCAAGAUUGAAGAGACGGAAUGUAAAUUAAUGGUUGCUCAGGGCUAAAGGUAGAAAGUGGAAAAGGGGAUUUAUUGCUAAUGGGUGUGGGGUUUUUU